AAAACAUGUUCAACAGAUAUGACAAACGUUACAAAAUAAGAACAUGUAAUACUGGAACAUAUGUACUGUUAUUAAGCAUUGAGUUGUCAUCAUCAAAAACCAGUUUGAUAUAGAGUUUGUGUUGUCAACAAUCUCAAAAGUAUGCACACAGGUAUUGAUAUUCAAAUGACUAAUCAUUAUAGAGAUGCAUGAGUAAAUCAUGUUAAACAAACAAAGAUGCUCCCCCAUCAUAAAUAAUCACAUGAGAAAGAUAUACUCUCCCCCUUAAGUGUAGGAAUGUGAAAUAUCUCAAAAACAUGCAAUGUUCCCCCUAACAUUAUGCAU
rnacentral:lncRNA from 1 species